AAAGAGUAAAUGAAUUGUAAGUUAUAAAAUAAAUAAAUCAUACGAUUGAAAAAAGUAUAUAUUUAUUUGAAUGAAUCUCAAUAAAUAAUUAUGACAGCAAAAAAAACUCAAUUAAUAAUUAUGCUUUUGGAGGGGACUUUCUUUUAGUCCUCCCUCUUCUCUUAAUGUCUCUAAUGAUCUCAUCUUUGAUACCAAUUCCUCUGCAGCGAGAGAUCGGAUUACACCCUCCAACUCCUUGAGUAUUAAUUAGACUUGCAUCGUCAUCGAGUUUCUUUUUGUCAAGAGGAACCUUUCUCGCUGCAUUUGUUAUGUCGAUGCUAAUCAAGAAAAUGAGGAUAAAGGUAAACACAAUUACUUUUGAGAUGCUCAUUAUACCAAAAGUAAAUGCAACGAGAUGAAAGUUGAGAUUGAUUUUGAUGUUAAAACUUUU
rnacentral:lncRNA from 1 species